rnacentral:antisense_RNA from 1 species
GUAGGCUUUCAGCGCACGCUGGCAAAGCGUUGAGCGCACGCAAUCAUCGGUUGUAAAGCGCACAAUACCCACCAUCUCAUCCUCUUCAAAACGCGCCAGCGCAUCGGUCAGACCCGACCGUACGCCUGAAGGUAAAUCGCACUGGGUAAUGUCGCCGUUGACGAUAACCGUCACGUUCUCCCCGAGGCGGGU